rnacentral:rRNA from 1 species
UACGUAGGGUGCGAGCGUUGCCCGGAUUUAUUGGGCGUAAAGGGCGCGUAGGCGGCUCUGCACGUCCGUUGUGAAAUCGCCCGGCUCAACUGGGCGGGGUCAGCGGAUACGGCGGAGCUUGAGCAAGCUAGGGGGCAAUGGAAUUCCCGGUGUAGUGGUGGAAUGCGUAGAGAUCCGGAGGAACACCAAAGGCGAAGGCAGUGUCCUGGGGAGUACCUGACGCUCAGGUGCGAAAGCCAGGGGAGCGAACGGG